UGCAUAUGGUGGAUGCCUUGGCGAUCACAGGCGAUGAAGGACGUAGUAGCCUGCGAAAAGCUGCGGGGAGCUGGCAAACAAGCUUUGAUCCGCAGAUAUCCGAAUGGGGAAACCCACUCCGCAAGGAGUAUCCCUGACUGAAUACAUAGGUCAGUGGAAGCGAACCGGGUGAACUGAAACAUCUCAGUAGCUCGAGGAAAAGAAAUCAACCGAGAUUCCGAAAGUAGUGGCGAGCGAAAUCGGAAGAGCCUUCACGUUUUAGCAUGCAAGAUAGUCGAACGGAAUGGAAAGUCCGGCCGUAGCAGGUGAUAGCCCUGUAGACGAAAUUUUGUGUGUGGAACUAAGCGUGAGAAAAGUAGGGCGGGACACGUGAAAUCCUGUUUGAAGAUGGGGGGACCAUCCUCCAAGGCUAAAUACUCGUGAUCGACCGAUAGUGAACCAGUACCGUGAGGGAAAGGCGAAAAGAACCCCGGAAGGGGAGGGAAAUAGAUCCUGAAACCGUAUGCAUACAAACAGUAGGAGCCUCCUUGUGGGGUGACUGCGUACCUUUUGUAUAAUGGGUCAGCGACUUACAUUCAGUGGCAAGGUUAACCGAAUAGGGAAGCCGUAGCGAAAGCGAGUCCGAAUAGGGCGAUUCAGUCGCUGGGUGUAGACCCGAAACCAGAUGAUCUAUCCAUGGCCAGGUUGAAGGCACGGUAACACGUGCUGGAGGACCGAACCCACUAAUGUUGAAAAAUUAGGGGAUGAGCUGUGGAUAGGGGUGAAAGGCUAAACAAAUCUGGAAAUAGCUGGUUCUCUCCGAAAACUAUUUAGGUAGUGCCUCAAGUAUUACUGCGGGGGGUAGAGCACUGUUAUAGCUAGG
rnacentral:rRNA from 1 species